AAAGAUUUAUCGGUGAUGGAUGGGAUGCGUCUGAUUAGCUUGUUGCGGGGUAACGGCCACCAAGGCAACGAUCAGUAGGGGUUCUGAGAGGAAGGUCCCCCACAUUGGAACCUGAGACACGGUCCAAACUCCUACGGGAGGCAGCAGUGAGGAAUAUUGGUCAAUGGGCGAGAGCCUGAACCAGCCAAGUAGCGUGCAGGACGACGGCCCUAUGGGUUGUAAACUGCUUUUAUAAGGGAAUAAAGUGAGUCUCGGUGAGACUUUUUGCAUGUACCUUAUGAAUAAGGACCGGCUAAUUCCGUG
rnacentral:rRNA from 1 species